AAGGAUCCUCAUGCGCAAGCUCACCAUGGUCUCAAGUCAAGUGAGAAACAUCCAGCAUUAUUAAAAUUCAUAACAAGUAAAGGCCCUGAUUCAAUCUGGAGAUCAUCAUCAACGACUCAGAUUAAAACUGGCAACGGGGACGGUGGUGUACACCACCGUCUUCUCCGGCGAACAUGCCAUUUCCGGUGGAAGUUGCAGGUCAUAACAUCUUAAUGAAAACGAGCGAUCCUCAUAUCAUUGGAAAGCUGG
rnacentral:lncRNA from 1 species